rnacentral:rRNA from 1 species
AUUGAACGCUGGCGGCAGGCCUAACACAUGCAAGUCGAACGAGUGGCGGACGGAUGAGUAAUGCUUGGGAAACUGACUUAUGGAGGGGGAUAACUACUGGAAACGGUAGCUAAUACCGCAUACCAUCAGAUGUGCCCAUGUGGGAUUAGGUAGUUGGUGGGGUAAAGGCUCACCAAGCCGACGAUCCCUAGCUGGUCUGAGAGGAUGACCAGCCACACUGGGACUGAGACACGGUCCAGACUCCUACGGGAGGCAGCAGUGGGGAAUAUUGCACAAUGGGCGCAAGCCUGAUGCAGCCAUGCCGCGUGUAUGAAGAAGGCCUUCGGGUUGUAAAGUACUUUCAGCGGGGAGGCGUUACCCGCAGAAGAAGCACCGGCUAACUCCGUGCCAGCAGCCGCGGUAAUAC